UAAGUUUUCUGCACAUCCUGUAAACUGGGGAUAACACGACCCUGCUGAGAUGAGCAACAGAAGCCUUCCUGCAGUGACCCUUUUCCUGUGUGUUUCUGUCGGUGCAGAUGUUCCUGUCCUUAUCCAGUCCCCGAGCAUACAGCGUGUCACUGAGGGUCACAUGGCGUGGUUAUGGUGUACCAUGAGCAAAGCCAGACUGGAAGACACCGACGUCCACUGGUAUCGGAAACUACCUGGGCAGGACAUGGAGUGGGUUCUAACACAUAGGUCAGGAGGCAGCCCAGAGUGGGGACGAGGUUUCACUGGGAGGUUCCUGCCCUACAGAGACACGUCCAACAGCAGCUUCACCCUGACAGUCACAGACAUGGUGCACAGCGAUUCUGCCGUCUAUUACUGCAGAGUGUGGGGAGACAUCGAUGGGAACGGCACCCAGCUCAUUGUAACCAAGAUGUCCCGAGCCCCAUCGUACCUGGUCUGGAUCAUUGUGGCUGUCGUGCUGGGAGUUCUCGCUGUCACUGGAGGCAUUUUCCUCAUCAGACGCAGAGCGUUUAGAAACCACCCGUCCCACCCACCCACAGCAACUGAUCACCGGAGCCCAGGGGCAGUUUAUGAAAAUGCUUCCGUGGCCAGGGGUGUCCCGGGUUCAGGAGGUCAGCAGGUCAAAUCAAACAACACCUACAAGGCUCUGCAACGUCCCACUCAGUCCAUCUACGGUCAUCUCCAAGCUGACAAUAAACCACCGUCUACCAGCUGAACCACAGUGGGAAUCAUCUGUGUGGCCUUACCUGGAGGGGAGGAACCCCGGAUGGAUUUCUGCACAGACACACUCAUCAGACGUGGAAAAGUUUAAGGCCCAGACAUUCUACUCAUUCGACGUGUGAGACAAGAAUUUUACCAGAGACAACAUUUGGGAUGUUUCUUUCAGGGGAAACCAACCCCGGUUGGAUGUCAGGAAGGAGGCAGUGAAAUGUGAUUGGAGCAUGUUUGUUAGAACAUAGAACAGUACAUCUCCAGUCUGGCCAUUCGGCCCACAAUGUUGUGCUGUUCUUGGUGACAAUUUGUACUAAAUAUCCUCCUCCUGUGCAUCAUCCCUAUCCCUCCGUUCCCUUAAUGCCAUUUUGAACAUCGGACACAGAACAAUACUGCACUGAAGCAGACAGUUUGGACUUGAUGUGUCAAAAAAUUAAAAUUCCAAAUCAAAUGCCCAAUGAAACUAAUCAUUUCUGCCCACACAAUGUCCAUAUCCCUCCAUUCCCUUCAAUGUCAUUUAGGAUAGGACUAAGAACAACACAGCGCUGGGUGGGGGGUAUUAAACAGGUGACCUGCAGAAGAGCAAAUGCACCUUACACCUCCUUUGGUAGAGUUGAAUGUCCACGCUGCCACCCACAACUCUAUUUCAGCCUCUCAACAUCUGAUAGAUUUCAAUGAGAAUCCCCUUAUUCUUCUGAACUCCAGUGAACACAGGCCCAGAGCCAUCAAACGCUCCUCAUUCCUUAACCUUUUCAUCACCAGGAUCAUUUUUUGGAAACUCUGUAGGAGCCUCAGAAAUGCUAGCACAUCCUUUCUUAAAUGAGGACUCUGAAACUGGUCACCACAUUCCAAGUGCAGUCUAACUUAUGCUUCAAAGCCUCAGCAUUACAUCAUCGCUUUUAUAUUUUAGUCUUCUUGAAGUGAAUGCUAGCAUUGCUUUUUCAUCCCUUUUUACAAAAUGUUGUGACUCCUCUGUUG